ensembl:lncRNA
CACAAACGCAGCUGUGAGAAAACGCAGCAACUUCCUCUUCCAAACCAACAGACGGCGCUAUCGGUCAAUUUACACCAGUCUCCCGAGAAGCAUUACAUCAUUCCACAGUACAGUGCAGGAAGUAGCUGAGAGAGGAAGAAGUAACGCACCAUAAUAAUGCUGACAAACAUGAAUGCUGAGGAGGAGGAGGAGGAGUUGUUGUGAUCUAAAAGACGGAGGACAAGAAGAUGGAAUCAUGUGAGCUGGAAAUCGAUCGACGUCAACCAUCUUGAAGGACAUCUAAAUUCUCGAAUUGCACCGCGAGGAGGCGAGGAACGAGGAGUGAGGAAGCGAGGAAGCUUCCAGAGGAGCUAGGUUCGCGGGGAACCUGGAGCCUGUCCCAGGGAGUAUGGGGCACAAGGCAGGGUACACCCUGGACAGGGUGCCAAUCCAUCGCAGAGCACAAUCAUAUACGCAAUCACACACUACAGACCCUUUGGACAUGCCAGUCAGCCUACCAUGCU